GAUGAACGCUGGCGGCGUGCUUAACACAUGCAAGUCGAACGAGAAGUGGAGACGGAAACCUUCGGGCGGAAGACUUUAUUUCGAGUGGCGGACGGGUGAGUAACGCGUGGGUAACCUGCCUCAUACAGGGGGAUAACAGUUGGAAACGACUGUUAAUACCGCAUAAGACCACAGCACCGCAUGGUGCCGGGGUAAAAACUCCGGUGGUAUGAGAUGGACCCGCGUUCGAUUAGCCAGUUGGCGGGGUAACGGCCCACCAAAGCGACGAUCGAUAGCCGAUCUGAGAGGAUGACCGGCCACAUUGGGACUGAGACACGGCCCAAACUCCUACGGGAGGCAGCAGUGGGGAAUAUUGCACAAUGGGGGAAACCCUGAUGCAGCGACGCCGCGUGAGUGAAGAAGUAUUUCGGUAUGUAAAGCUCUAUCAGCAGGGAAGAAAAUGACGGUACCUGAGUAAGAAGCCCCGGCUAACUACGUG
rnacentral:rRNA from 1 species